UCGCUCGGGUUUCUCUUCAUUCACGCACAAAUCUUUCGCCUUUUACUAAAGAUUUCCGUGGAGGGGAACCUUGACGAGUUCUUAUUUAUGAAGGCUCUGCCAUGGCAGAGCU
ensembl:snRNA U5 U5 spliceosomal RNA